rnacentral:rRNA from 1 species
UAUUAUAUUUAAUGUUAAUUGAUUACAAGGGUAUUAGUAGUAAGUUCUUGAAACUCAAAGAAUUUGGCGGUGUUUUAGUCUUUUCAGAGGAAUCUGUCCUGUAAUUGAUAGUACACGAUUUGAUUUACUUGAUUUUGUUAUCAGUUUAUAUACCGCCGUCAUAAGAUUAUUUUUGUUUGAGAAAUUAAUUUUCUUAUAUUUAAAUUGGAUGAUAUGUCAGGUCAAGGUGUAGCUUAUAAUUAAGUAGAGAUGGAUUACAAUAAUUAUAAUUAUAUGGAUAAUUGUUUUAAUUUGAUUUGAAGGUGGAUUUGAUUGUAAAUUUAUUUUUAAUUUUUAUUUUGAUUGGAGCUCUAGAAUGUGUACAUAUCGCCCGUCGCUCUCGUUAUUAAGGUGAG